CAGGGCUCCCCCCACGGCCCCCGGCGCCGCAGGGGUGUCGCGCACAUACGGGCAGGGGCUGGGCCCCGGGGCCACCUCAGCUACAGCAGCAGCGGCCCGCGGGGGCGGCCACCGCCGGGAAGGCGGAGAUGAGCCCCGAUGCCUGCUGGGCAGGGGUGCCUGGUGGGGUGCAACAGAGAGAAGGAAGGAAAGCCCUCGGCCCUUCAGGUCUCACUCACGGUCAGUCAAAGAGAGGCAGAGGUCAUCUACUCCACACCCCUGUCUCAGGCAGCAGCAUCCCAGGGUGACCCUACUGGGCCUGCUCAGAUCAUACAAACAGCAUUUGCCCUCCAAGAUCCCCAUGUGUUCAGCAGUGCAGCAGGUAUAACGGCUGGGGUGAGGAAUGUGGCACACUUUCACCCAUGAAGAGGCGCAAGAGAGUUACAGAGGACACCCACAUCCCUGCAGAUGCCACAUGCAAAGCCAGCCAUCUGGAUGACAAGAGCCUGAAACGGAGAGCUUCCUCUCUGUUCUUGAAAAUGGGAGUGAGUGUCUCAUCAGACUCCGUGAGACCACUUGUCCUCACUUCUAAAUCCCCAUUUCUCCAGGACCCAAGUAGGUGACAGACAUUUGUGGCUCUGUUCACAGCACCUCUGAAAGGCAUUCCCACUGGAUGGUCCUACUCUGGGUUCUGCUCCAGCUGGUGUGAUACCAGAGGCCACAUUAGGCGAUCACAGUGACCCUCCUGGCCGUAUCAUCUAGGAAUCUAUGGAUUUUCAGAUGAGCUCAGCACAUCAGCGUACAACAGCACAGCUAGGAGAAGAUACUUCAGAAGAAUGAAAGGACACACAACUGCACUCACAGCUGUACGCACAACUGCACCCACAACUACCACCAGGCAGGCUGCAAGCAACAGCAACCAGAGGAGAAGACAUUGGGCCACGGUCCAAGGAGGCAAGAAUGCAUCUAUGAGGUGAAUUGGCAUCUCAGAUGGUGGUGUCGCCAAGAAGGCUUCGGCUUCUAUGACCACGACACCCACUUCAAGGACAGAGGACUCUUGGGGAGAGACGGUAUCCACCUCACACAGAAAGAGACCGCGUGUGCAUGGGACAUGGUUGUCAUGGACGAAUUCAACUACCCCAACAUCUCCUGGGAGAAGUGCUCAGCCAGCUCGGAUUGAUCACGAUCCUUCCUGACCAGCACCAAAGAAUUUUGACUCGGGAGGUGCACAGGCCAACUAGAGGCAAUGUAGUUCUUGACUUGGUCCUGGCCAAAGGGGAUGACCUGAUUACCAACUUAAACACAGAGGGCAGCCUAGGCUAUAUGACCAUGAAAUCAUUAUUUUCAUGGUCCAUUGCAAGGCUGACAAAACAGAUACCAAUCUUGAAGUCUUAGACUUCAAAAAAGCAAAUUUUAAUACGCUCAGGUCACUAGUAGAGAAUGCCCUGAGAGACCAAGAACCACAGGUAAAGGGAACAUGAGAAGAAUGGUUGUUCCUUAAGGAUACAAUCCUUAAGGCUCAGAAAAUCCAUUCCCUUAUGGAGAAAAAGUAGCAACAGGGUCAAAAAACCCUCUUGGCUAAGCAGGGAAGUUGCAGCCCUCCUACAGAAAAAGAAAGGGGCAUACAAACAAUGGAAGCUUGGAACAGCCUCUAAGGAAGACUACUUGACAAUGGCCUGCACUUGUGGAAAGCAGAUUAGGCAAGCUGAGGCAGAAACCGAAAUAAACUAGCUACAAGAAUCAAGGACAAGAAGAAGUCCUUCUUUAGCUAUAUGGGGAGUAAAAGGAAAACUAAUGGGAGUGUGGGACUAUUGCUCAAUGCCUCAGGAUACCUGAUCACUACCACUCGGGAAAAAAUUACUACUAAAUUACUACUUUGCCUUGGUCUUUCACAAGACCAAGGGGAACAACAUGCCAGGUAGGGCACAGAACGAGCAGGGCAGGAUUGACGCCAUUCCCACCAUUGCCAUAGAACUGGUGUACAAUCAAUUAAAGAAAUUAGACUUGUAUAAAUCAGCAGGACCAGAUGAACUCCACCCAAGAGUUGGCCGAAGUAAUCGCAGAGCCCUUGGCAAAGGUCUUUCAAAAAUCAUGGGCCUCUAGAGAAAUCCCAGAGGACUAGAAGAGGGCCAAUGUUGUGCCCAUCUUCAAGAAGGGGAAGCAUGAAGACCCGGGAAACUACAGGCUAAUUAGCUUAACUUCUAUUCCAGGGAAAAUCCUAGAGACAUUCAUCAAAGAGGCUAUAUGUGACAAACUUGCAGAAGACAUGAUACUGAAUGACAGCCAGCACGGCUUUGUCGCAGGCAGGUCUUGUCUGACCAACCUCAUUUCUUUCUAUGAUCAGAUGACUCAUCACCUGGAUGAGAGAGAAGUGGUUGACUUCAUAUACCUCAACUUCCAGAAGGCCUUUGACCUGGUAUCCCAUGAGGUACUGGUCAGAAAACUGGAGAAUAUCGGGCUCAACUGAGGGACUGUCAAGUGGGUGCAAAACUGGUUGCGGGGUAGGACACCGAGUCCAAAUGAAUGGAUUGGUGUUGUCCUGGUGAGAUGUGGGCAGCAGCAUACCCUAAGGGUCAGUACUUGGCCCAGUGCUGUUCAAUAUCUUCAUCAACAACCUGGAUGAGGGAGUGAAAAGCUCAUUGGCCAGGUUCGCAGACAACACCAAGAUAUAGGGUUGUGCAAACACACCUGCAGAUACAAGCAGACCUAGACAGACUGGCAUGUUGGUCAGACUGGAACCAGAUGAGGUUCAACAUAGAGAAAUACAAAGUGCUGCAUUUGGGAAGGAAGAACCCCCAGCACACCUACAGGCUGGGCAUCGCUAACCUGACUGGCACUACAAAUGAAAGGGAUCUGGGGGUAACAAUAGACCCCAGGAUGAAUAUGAGCCGGCAAUGCGAUGCAGCAGCCGCUAGGGCCAAUAAAACUCUGGCAUACAUCAAUCGAUGCAUCUCCAGUAAAUCCAAAGAAGUGAUUCUCCUGCUAUACUCAACAUUGGUGUGGCCACAGCUGGAGUAUUGCAUCCAGUUCUGGGCGCUGCACUUCAACAAGGACGUGCCAAGGCUUGAGAGGGUCCAGAGAAGGGCCACCUGCAUGAUCAGGGACUUGCUUGCCAAGCCAUACAAGGAGAGGUGAGGGAUUUCAGACUCUUCAGCCUAAAGAAAAGAAGGCUGAGAGGGGACCUGAUUGCGGCUUACCGCUAUACCAGAGGCAUACAUCAGGGGCUCAGUGAACAGCUGUUCACCAGGGUGCCCUGAGGGAAAACUAGAAACAACAGCCCCAAACUUCUGGAAGAUAGUUUCAGGCUGAACAUUAGGAAAAACUUCUUUACAACUAGGGUGUCCAGACUAUGGAACUAGCUCCCCCCAGAGGUAGUGCAAUCAUCUACCCUAGAGGUCUUCAAGAGAAGACUGGACAGUCACCUGGCUGGGGUUAUCUGACCCCAGAUGUCUUUCCUGCUUAUGCAGGGGGCUGGACCUGAUGAUCCUUUGGGGUCCCUUCCAGCCCUAUGAACAACCUGCCCAAGCCAGUUCUCUCCCCAAGCUUUACCUCAGUCUGCAGCAGAUGUGUGCACUGGGCCAGGACUUUGAGCACCAGCAAUGUGCACAAGCAGCUUGUUUUAGACAGUGUCAUGCCUCUUGGGCUUCUAGGCCUCUGGCUGCUAUGGUCCUGCCAACUUGGACAGCAGCAUAAAUAAUAGCAAAACUUGGUGGCAUAUAGAAAUGGAUGAGUUUUGUGUUUGCUUAAACUUAAAAGCCCCAACAUGCUACGUGCACAGCAUGGACAUGAUGCCUGCUUAUCAGUGACAUGGGAGCACAGGACCCUCACAGAAAGAGCCUAAACUGCAAGGUGAUCCCACACAGAGAGGCAAUACUGAAUUUAUCAUAUGAGGGGCUAUUUAUAAGGGAAGAGGGACAGAAUCCUGCUGUGUGUGUGUGUGUGUGUGUGUGUGUGUGUGUACGCACAUGUACAUGCACAUCUGCCCCCUUUGUAUAUGUCAGUUUCUUCAUAUAAUGCCUCAGACCGAGCCCAGGGUACCCCUCCAAUAACAGUAAGUGCAGAUGUGAGAGGCAGCAUUCUUGCUUGACAACCUGAAUACAUUUAAAAACUGCAACAAUAAAAUUAAAAACACAAGUUCAACCCUAAGUUACAAGCUGUAAAACAAUAUUAAAAAGACACACUGAGAUUUAGGAGCAUAUUCAUUAAUUUACUACACAAGGACAGCUGCGUUUUCUUUUUCUCUGGCACAAAAUGGGGAGACAGCCACGAGAUCAAAAUGGCUCAACCCCAAAGGGACAACUUGAGUUUUGGAGUCGGAGGAGUCAAAAGCACCUGCCCCAGGAGGUGGGUUGACCCUUUCAUUCUUAAGAGGACAGGAUAUGUUAUAAGAAUAGAAUUAAUGCACCAGCCAGCUAGGCACAAGCCUAGGGGCCCCUACCAAUUUAGGGCCGUGGCCCCAGGAUCCUCAUCAGCAGGGAAGUGGAAACAGCAGUUUUAAACUCGGAGCCAAUCUUUAGUGCCCAAUUUAAAACUGUGGUUUUCACACUUACUUCCCAGGGAGCUGGAAGUGGGGCUUGUCCACCAAUGGGGCUGAGGAGAGGGGUGGCAGGGCUGGGGUCUGGCCGGGAGAGCCACGCUG